rnacentral:tRNA from 1 species
GCGCUCGUGGUGGAACGGUAGACACGCACGGUUCAGGUCCGUGUGCCGAGAGGCAUGGGGGUUCGAGUCCCUCCGAGCGCAC